rnacentral:snRNA from 11 species
AAACAUGCAGGCAGGGCAGAUACCACGAUCACGAAGGCGAGGCUUAUCCAUUGUACUCCAGGAGUACUGACCCCUGCAUUCCCCAAAUGUGGGAAACACGACCGCAUAAUUUGUGGUAGUGGGGAACUAUGUUCAUGCUUUCCCC